UACGUAGGGCGCAAGCGUUGUCCGGAAUUAUUGGGCGUAAAGAGCUCGUAGGCGGCCAGUUGCGUCCGCUGUGAAAGCCCGGGGCUUAACCCCGGGUCGGCAGUGGAUACGGGCAGGCUAGAGGUAGGUAGGGGAGAAUGGAAUUCCCGGUGUAGCGGUGAAAUGCGCAGAUAUCGGGAGGAACACCGGUGGCGAAGGCGGUUCUCUGGGCAUGUCCUGACGCUGAGGAGCGAAAGUGUGGGGAGCGAACAGG
rnacentral:rRNA from 1 species